rnacentral:rRNA from 1 species
GUGGGGAAUAUUGGACAAUGGGCGAAAGCCUGAUCCAGCCAUGCCGCGUGUGUGAAGAAGGUCUUCGGAUUGUAAAGCACUUUAAGUUGGGAGGAAGGGCAGUAAGUUAAUACCUUGCUGUUUUGACGUUACCGACAGAAUAAGCACCGGCUAACUUCGUGCCAGCAGCCGCGGUAAUACGAAGGGUGCAAGCGUUAAUCGGAAUUACUGGGCGUAAAGCGCGCGUAGGUGGUUUUGUAAGUUGGAGGUGAAAUCCCCGGGCUCAACCUGGGAACUGCCUCCAAAACUGCAUUGCUAGAGUACGGUAGAGGGUAGUGGAAUUUCCUGUGUAGCGGUGAAAUGCGUAGAUAUAGGAAGGAACACCAGUGGCGAAGGCGACUACCUGGACUGAUACUGACACUGAGGUGCGAAAGCGUGGGGAGCAAACAGGAUUAGAAACCCCGGUAGUCC